rnacentral:rRNA from 1 species
CAGUAGCCGCGGUAAUACGAGGGGGGCAAGCGUUGUUCGGAAUUAUUGGGCGUAAAGGGUGCGUAGGCGGUUUGAUAAGUCUUGUGUGAAAUCUAUGGGCUCAACCCAUAGUCUGCACAGGAAACUGUCGGGCUUGAGUAUUGGAGAGGUGAGUGGAAUUUCCGGUGUAGUGGUGAAAUGCGUAGAUAUCGGAAGGAACACCUGUGGCGAAAGCGGCUCACUGGACAAUUACUGACGCUGAUGCACGAAAGCUAGGGGAGCAAACAGGAUUAGAUACCCGAGUAGUCCCUGUCUCUUAUAC